rnacentral:rRNA from 1 species
UACGGAGGGUGCGAGCGUUGUCCGGAAUCACUGGGCGUAAAGGCGCGUAGGCGGCCUGAUAAGUAGGGGGUGAAAUCCUGCGGCUUAACCGCAGGGCUGCCUUCUAAACUGUCAGGCUAGAGCACGGUAGAGGCAGAUGGAAUUCCCGGUGUAGCGGUGGAAUGCGUAGAUAUGCGGAGGAACACCGAUGGCGAAGGCAAUCCCUGGCCUGCACUGACGCUCAUGCACGAAAGCGUGGGGAGCAAACAGG